GUUUAUCCUUAUCUCUCCAAAUGCUAUUCCUUAUCUAUUUGAGAUUCUCCUCCAAAGCUCUAUAAAAGUAUACUUCUCCUUCAUUGUUUUUCACUUUAGUAUCCAUCUCUCUCUCUUUCUCUUUCUAAUUUUCUCUCUAUCAAUCUUUCACCAUGCCUUCCAUGCUCAAGAAUUGGAUGAAAGACGUAGAUGUUACUCACUGGAAGACAUUACCUAGGAUGUUCUUAGAAGGCCUAAGGUUCCAAAAUUUUGAGAACUUAUGAAGAAUUCAGCAUCAUAUUAGGUAGGAAACCUUCUAUCCAUGAUUCCAUCAUUUUACCAUCUUUUGAGGAUGAUUUUCAACUCAAAGUACAACCUUCUUUUAAGCUUUCAUGGAAAGAAGUUCAUUCUCUUACUCCUAUGAAAGGGUUUAUCUCUUUGCUUACUCGUGGUGAAAAUUGGGUUUAUCUCAACUCAAAGAACAUUAAUGUUUUAUACUUCUCUUUAAUCACUUUUUACCUCUUAUCACAUGAGUCUCUACAUGGCAGUUAUCAAAUUAUUCAUAUUCUGGAAGAAUUACGAAUCGGUGCCACAUUGGCUCCCACUGUGUUAGUUGAAACUUUCAACGGUUUAGAUAAGGUGAACUUGGAUUCUACCAAACACUUCAAGCAACCCUCUUCUAUUAUAGGUAGACAAACUAAUAGGGCAGCAGACUAGGCUGCUAGUGCUUCAGUGAGAGAUCAUUGGGUAUAUUGAGUAUACCAUAUUUUGCAUUUUGUAUUAUAAUGUAUGAUCACUGUAUGUAUAUAGUGUUCUUGGUUUUGAGC
rnacentral:misc_RNA from 1 species